rnacentral:snoRNA from 1 species
AACCAGAGGAAACCAGCCAGAAACAGUCCAAACAAGCUUUGGCUUUGGCUCUGUGCUAGAGUCAUGUCUGUUCUUUCCCUCUGCCAUUGCUAGUAGUAUUUUAUCAUUUAAAAUGUAUUCAGAAAGUCAGAACAUCA